AGAGAGAAAGCCGCACCCUCCGCGAAGCCCAGUAGCGCGCCGUGAUCGUAUAGUGGUUAGUACUCUGCGUUGUGGCCGCAGCAACCUCGGUUCGAAUCCGAGUCACGGCAUUGUGAGAUAACAAUGGCACGGCAUGGGGGCUUCCAUUUUUAACAUGGUCUGCGAAGAGCCAAAAUUGUUUCCACCAAGAUAUGCAAAAAUCUUCCUAUUAGAAACAGACAGCAAACUAGAGAUGGGACAGGAGUGAGGAGAAGGAUGACUGAAGCCUAGAAAAAAGUCUGGAUGUGGGUGCCGACUCCAUCAUGCUGCUGCUGCUGCUGCCUCACAAGGUGUGUCUACUUACCAACCUAUUUAGAACAGCAGGACGGUUUUAUCAGCAAUGAGCAAAUGACCGGCAGGGAAGUAUGACAUGAAUAAACUAUUGGGUAACUCCUCUAUCCUAAAUGCUUAAUGGAACUAGUGUUACGGCUGCACCUUGAUUGGGGAUCCCCUAUCCUUAUUCCCAAGCUGAGAGGUUUUCAUCACUGGCACAGGUUUGUGCAGUUCCAGUGGCACUCUUUUUAUGUGUGCAAACCAAGCAGAGACAUCUGGCUCCUAGAAAAGGGCAUAAACAGAGGAAUUGUCAUUGUUCAGAGAUGAUCUGUGUACAUCUGGGAACUAGAGAUGGUGUUGUUUCCUCAAGUAUACUUAAGGAUAUGCUGUGCUGAUGUUGGCUGAGCUAAGGGACUGAUGCACAAUAUAUAAUAUUCUUUAUACAAGGCUGGCAGAACAGAAACCAGUGCAGUCUGCAUUAUUGUUAAUAAGCCACAUUGUUUAGCAUUUACAAUUAAAUAUACUGUAUAAUACAUAAAUAUAAAAAAAGUAAAAUACAGGAAGAAAUAUGAAAAUACAUACAAAAAUAGAACUAUUUAUUGGUAUUUGAGAGAUGCUGUCUUGCAAAGGCUCUAGGCUUCCGGGCUUUUGUUUGCCAAAGUUCUUUGUAUGUUAUCAUUAUAUUAUCACACAUUAGUAUGAAAGGACAAAUGAAUACUUGUAGAGGGCAGCGCUGCUUGUUUAGCCUCUGUAUUGACUUUGCUAAUGUGGGAAGUAAGCAUAUCAGCCCCCCAGUGUUUGAUUUAACUAAUGGCCUCAAAACACAAUGGAGGAGUCAGAACUUUGAAAUUAACCUUGAAAUAACACCAAAUAAUAACCUGAUGAUUUCAGCAGGAAACAAUGUAUACUUUGCUAUAAAAAUAGCUUAAUUCAAUUAACAAGCAAAAACUUAAAUUCAUAUAUGUGCAACACGGAUGGCCUUUUGCUAACUGCCUAUAAGUGAUAUCAUAUAGCAAAGUGAUAACUUACAACAAUUCAACUUAAACUUUAACUAUUUAUUGCCACAGGGCUUAUACUAGAGCUCAAUUCUGUUCAUUUUAGUUCUAAAGCACUGCCAAGGCACAGCACAUGGACUACCAUAACACACAUCGGGUGCCAGAACUCAGGGGCAUGACAGGUACUUUGUGCAGUUUUCAGGUACAGUUUCCAUACGGAAUCAAGCUCUUGCCUUUUAGUUUUUUAUUUUUGGACUAAAAGUAAAAAAUUUUUUUUAAUUUUUUUAAUCCUUAUACAUAUAUGUAGGCAUGAAACCACAACGCCAAGAGAUGUCAACAGAACAUAGGAUUAAUCAAGUAAUCAAUUUGUUAAAUUCUGAGAACUCAUCAACAGCCUUGAUAAAUACCUCUAUUUAGGCUUUAGCCACUGCUGAACUGAAUUUCUUCAAGCUGAAAUCAAGAGACAGAUAAAGUCACCCCAUCCCAAGCUGUGGAAAAAAACAGUUUAAUUGUACCUAUUGCAUGCAUCUUGCAUGGCGCAUACAAAAAUGACUAACCUCCAUACCAAGUUGAAAAUUUUAAAAUUUACUCAGUAGCAUCCAACCUAACUAGACUGACCACUGCAACUGAUGCUUAAUGCUACCACAGGCCCAGUACCUCACCCAGUUUAAUUCUGCUACAUCUAGAUGGGGGAGCAUAGAGCACAGUGAUGCUGACCACACACAAAAAAAAAAAAAUCUGAAUUCCCAUUUAAAAAUGGAAAUUCUGCCAUUAAAAUUUACCAUGGGCUGGUCACCACCCUUGGAAAAAUGCCAUUCAAGGCAAGGUUCCCCCGGGGAAAACAAAGAUAUUACAGAGACAAGUUAUCUGGGUGUUGUAUAUAGAGAUUACUACACAUAUCUCAACACAGUUUUUCGGAUGGCAGUAUUGAAAUUACACUGUAACUAUUUUAUUCCAGCCUUCAGUGAUACAAUUUAGAAAUUCAGCAGGCCAGUUUGUUUGUGGUGCUAGCAGAGGACAUUAUUGACAGAACAAUUACUAUUAGCCAAAUGUGUAUUCUACAUAUGAAACAACAUCCCUCAAAAUCCCACUGAUUGACUUAUGCUUGUGUGUCAUAUGAGCAUCAAUAUCUGUUCCCACUGGAACAUGGGUCAUAUUUUCCUCUGUUCAGUCCAUGUACCAAGCUUAUAAAUCUCAUCUGCCACUCAUUUUUGGUUCUCAUUGAAUACCAAGAUUUCCCUGUUAAGGAAAUCAAACUAUUCAAGCGCCAGUUAAAUUAUUUCAAUUAAAUUUAAAAACAUUUUUUGGACGUGUUGAUCACAGGAGCAUAUAUUUUUGCAUGAUGCCUUGGUGUCUGGUAUUCAAGUAAAUGUGCCUCAAAAUGCUACAGCACUUUGGCACCUAUGCAGUUAACUGUAUUAGUAAGGCACUCUCUCCUCUCUUAAAAAAAAAAAUCCUAACUGUAUGUUAUCUAGAGUUGUAAAAGAUGAAAUUGCUUCAGCAAAUGGUAACAGUCAUGUUUAUAAGCUUUAUUUUCAUUCUUGACAUAUGCAACAUUAAUAGAGGCAUGAAUAACAUGUCCAUAGCAAUGUGUUUCUCUUCAGAUCCAUGAAAAAAACUCAGCAAAUGGAAAGUUUCUGAUAAAUCAGUUUUUUCUUUAAAUACAAAGUCAUCCAUUCAUUCUGAAAACUGCUACUGGAAGUCCAUGAAACAGCAGUUACAGGUUUUACAGAGAAAAACUGUCCACAGCUGCUUUCCCAACCUUCUCUGCAACUACAUAUGAUCAGCUUGAAAAUAAUUUCUUCCCUUCAGGCAGUUUGAAAAAGGCAUGUCCAUAGCACCAGUCUUGAAA